GUGAGUAUGUGAUCUUGGGAACACGGACAUUAAUUUUGUCUCUUGUAACUGAAAUGUUUCAAUAUGAAAGUAUUAUGUGCGGCUCUAGAUCUCUAGUGUAAGAGGUUGUGAGGCCACUAUGGCACUUAAUUUCACUCUAGUGUUAUUAUGGAACCAAAGUAGAUCAUGGAUCAUUGAUCGCAUCUGUUGGUGUCCUAUUGAUUCUUGAUCAUCAAUCUAAAUACCCAUAGUUAACUAUAAAUUGGCAUAAUGGAGUCACUUACUCCUUUCGCUUAUUUUUCUCUAGAGUUCCAUACUUCUUUCCUUUCGUGUGAUCUUUACUUGCUAGUGAUCUUCCCAUUUGUUUCAAUUUCCAUCAUUGUUUGUGCAAAAAAAAUGGGUCUUUCGUGGUAAUGUUUCUAUUUUUUCGAAUUUAACUCUACAAACACUCAAGGUAACAUUUUCUUUAUUUACCAUAUCAGUUGUUUCCAUGUAUUUCUAUCCAUGGCCAAUAUAUGAAACUCGAACAUUCCCUUUGUAGACUUUUGGAGCAAUGAUGAGAUAAGUGAUACCAUUGUAAGGCAUCCUUAUGUAGUCAUUAUAAAGAUUAGUUAGAGUUUUGAUACUUCGGGGAGUCCAAGCAAGGAUGCAAAGGAGUUGGGGGAUUCUUAGGAAGUAGAAAGUCUUGGAAUGGGGGUAGAUGUUGAAGAGGACGUCACUCCUUUUAUGAUUGAUAUUAAGGAAGUUGCGCAUGGUUUUUCCUUCUAUGGGCUCCCUAUGUUGAAUCCAGAUAUUGUAGAGGUAUACAUGAAUGAAUUAAAGGUUUGUAUUUAUAUUAAAUCCUUUAUGCGCCAAUAAGACUGCAAACAAAUUGAUAGGAAGGUGAGAUGGUGGAUAGAGUACCAAUCAUGUUCCAACCCUCAUGGUCGUAAUGUUUUACUUGUUGACAGUGAGGAGGAAAUGGUACGGAGGGAAAAGUUUAUAUGUCUUGUUGGAGGGUUGUGUAGAUAAUAGAGAUUCAUUUUCGAGGUGCACCUUUUCCUCCCACCAAAUGCUUUGACGUCUCAAAAGUGUGUAGACAAAGAAUAUUCGAUAAUAUAAAUAUUCUCAAUGGAUUGGUGGAAAUAAGGAAGGGUCUUAGCAAACAUACUUCCCUUUCGCAUCUGCCUUUUCCUCCAGGACAGUUAGAGGGGGAGGUUGUGUUGAUUCAAAAAGAUGUCGAGCAAAAGGGCUCGCAGUAGGUUUCAUAGAUUCCAAAGGAUCAACCCUAAUAAGAAACACUAGAAGAAAUGCAGACCCAAGGUCCUCCAACCUCUGAGGUUUAGAGCAAAAAAAUUAAUGAUCGCCUGGGAAAUUAUGCUUUAGAUUGAUCUUUAUUGAGGACAAUUAAUGAUAAUUCUUCUAAGCAGUUGAAAUACAAAAGGAUCAUUCAAGACUGGUCAAACACAAAAGCUCAAAAUAAGGAUGCCCAAAUACAAGAAAUUGAUAAUAAAGGAACCUAAAGUGCACCGACUUCCUAUUCCAUGUAAUAUUUCCUUCUCACCGUGUAUCUGAGAUCUUCCAAAUAUGUUUAGUUUAGCUUCCAAGACAGUUAUUACAACUACUUUGCUUAUUUGACAAAGUCUAGCCUCCAGGAAGCGAAGGCGAAGGUGUCAUAUCAUUUGCAUCGAACGUCUGUUGUGCUAUCUAUUGGUGGAAAUUAUACUAUCUUGUACAUAACCUUAUCAUUUCAUUCCUUGUAUUGACAUAGUUUUCAUGAUGUGCCCUUCAAGAGAAUAUUCUUUAUAGCUUAGAUGAAUGAUGAAAUAGCACAAUAGACCAUUUAUCUUA